rnacentral:rRNA from 1 species
AUUGAACGCUGGCGGCAGGCCUAACACAUGCAAGUCGAGCUGUUGAAGGGAGCUUGCUCCUGGAUUCAGCGGCGGACGGGUGAGUAAUGCCUAGGAAUCUGCCUGGGAGUGGGGGAUUACGUCUGGAAACGGGCGCUAAUACCGCAUACGUCCUGAGGGAUAACGUGGGGGUUCUUGGGACCUCACGCUAUCAGAUGAGCCUAGGUCGGAUUAGCUAUGUGGUGGGGUAACGGCCUACCAAGGCGACGAUCCGUAACUGGUCUGAGAGGAUGAUCAGUCACACUGGAACUGAGACACGGUCCAGACUCCUACGGGAGGCAGCAGUGGGGAAUAUUGGACAAUGGGCGAAAGCCUGAUCCAGCCAUGCCGCGUGUGUGAAGAAGGUCUUCGGAUUGUAAAGCACUUUAAGUUGGGAGGAAGGGCAGUAAGUUAAUACCUUGCUGUUUUGACGUUACCAACAGAAUAAGCACCGGCUAACUUCGUG